UGCAAGUAGAACGCUGAAGAGAGGAGCUUGCUCUUCUUGGAUGAGUUGCGAACGGGUGAGUAACGCGUAGGUAACCUGCCUUGUAGCGGGGGAUAACUAUUGGAAACGAUAGCUAAUACCGCAUAACAAUGGAUGACACAUGUCAUUUAUUUGAAAGGGGCAAUUGCUCCACUACAAGAUGGACCUGCGUUGUAUUAGCUAGUAGGUGAGGUAACGGCUCACCUAGGCGACGAUACAUAGCCGACCUGAGAGGGUGAUCGGCCACACUGGGACUGAGACACGGCCCAGACUCCUACGGGAGGCAGCAGUAGGGAAUCUUCGGCAAUGGGGGCAACCCUGACCGAGCAACGCCGCGUGAGUGAAGAAGGUUAACGGAUCGUAAAGCUCUGUUGUAAGUCAAGAACGAGUGUGAGAGUGGAAAGUUCACACUGUGACGGUAGCUUACCAGAAAGGGACGGCUAACUACGUGCCAGCAGCCGCGGUAAUACGUAGGUCCCGAGCGUUGUCCGGAUUUAUCGGGCGUAAAGCGAGCGCAGGCGGUUUGAUAAGUCUGAAGUUAACGGCCUGUGGCUCAACCAUAGUUCGC
rnacentral:rRNA from 1 species